AUCAACGCUGGCGGCGUGCCUCAGACAUGCAAGUCGAACGAUUAAAGCUCUCUUCGGAGAGUGUAUAGAGUGGCGCACGGGUGAGUAACACGUAAGUAAUCUACCUUUGAGUGGGGAAUAACCCGGGGAAACCCGAGCUAAUACCGCAUAAUGCAGCGGCACCGCAAGGUGACAGUUGUUAAAGGAGCAAUCCGCUUAAAGAGGAGCUUGCGGCAGAUUAGCUAGUUGGUAAGGUAAUGGCUUACCAAGGCUUCGAUCUGUAUCCGGCCUGAGAGGGCGGUCGGACACACUGACACUGAAUAACGGGUCAGACUCCUACGGGAGGCAGCAGUCGGGAAUUUUGGGCAAUGGGCGAAAGCCUGACCCAGCAACGCCGCGUGAAGGAUGAAGUACUUCGGUAUGUAAACUUCGAAAGGAUGGGAAGAAUCAAUGACGGUACCAUUUAUAAGGUCCGC
rnacentral:rRNA from 1 species